CACGACUGUCCUGGGGUCGGAGUGGGGUCGGCGGUGUGUGGACGUCCUGAGCAGAGUCCUGCCGGUGGUCCAAGCUGCUCUGAGCGGCCGAGAGAAGCAGCUCAGGAACCUGCAGGAGGAGACGGCCAGGCAGCAGAGACGCCUUAAAGAGUUGCAUGCAGCCUUCACCUCUAACCAGUCGACUGUUCAUCACACAGUCUGGGAGCUCAGUGGAACGCUGGGAGCCAAUGAGCAUCUCCAGGCUGUGAAGCAGGUGCACGAGUCUCUGCAGCUGCAGGUCCAGCAGGUGACCUCUCUGCUGGAGGAGGCGGAGCUUCACAAGCUGCCGUCCUCCCUCCUCCACCAGGCCUCACAGCUGCAGGCUGAGCUGGACACGUCUCUGGGGGGGGUGGGCUCCUGCUGUGAGGAGCUGAGGAGCAGCGUGGAGGUGCAGCAGCUGUACGAGCGGCUGGUCCGCAGCCAGGA